ACGGAAGGCAGCAGUGGGGAAUAUUGGGCAAUGGGCGAAAGCCUGACCCAGCAACGCCGCGUGAAGGAAGAAGGUCCUCGGAUUGUAAACUUCUUUUAUCAGGGACGAAGAAAGUGACGGUACCUGAUGAAUAAGCCACGGCUAACUACGUGCCAGCAGCCGCGGUAAUACGUAGGUGGCGAGCGUUAUCCGGAUUUACUGGGUGUAAAGGGCGCGUAGGCGGGGAUGCAAGUCAGAUGUGAAAUCCAUGGGCUUAACUCAUGAACUGCAUUUGAAACUGCUGAUCUUGAGUAUCGGAGAGGCAAUCGGAAUUCCUAGUGUAGCGGUGAAAUGCGUAGAUAUUAGGAGGAACACCAGUGGCGAAGGCGGAUUGCUGGACGACAACUGACGGUGAGGCGCGAAAGCGUGGGGAGCAAACAGGAUUAGAUACCCUGGUA
rnacentral:rRNA from 1 species